GGCGUUGCGCAACUAUUGUAAAACAUUGACAAUUUCCGUCACAUCUCUGGGGUAGUGCAAAAUGGCAAAUCAAUAAAAACAAAUUGAACUCGAAUUCAAUAAAAAGCCAGACACUCAAAGUGAACGGUUCCCAAAUACCUCUUGGCCCGAAAAUUGGCAAGGGAAGUUUCGCAAUAUCCAUUUACUCGCGAAUAAAUUUACUUGACAAGGCUUGAGCUGCGUCUUUGAGAAAUGCUGAUAGAAUGAGCUUUACUUCAAAUAACAAUUUUUUUCUUCUCAUCAACUUUGUAUUGCUCUGUAUUUUCUUAUUAAAUGAGAAAGGUGGUUAUAGUAAUUAGACAGGAUGUUGCAGAAAGCAUAUCCUGACAAAACUGGGCUGGAACGAAUAUGCCCGCUCUCGAAAAUGCCAAACCAACGAUAAAGCUCGGGUUGAAGGGUUGCCAAUCAGCAGCAGACGAAGCUGUAGUGGGGUUAUCUAAAAGCGGAGGGGGUAAAACUUUAACAAUGUUUUAAAAGAUAUACUCCCGGCAAACGCCGCUGGACGUGAUCCCCGCCAAGCCGGCACUCGGCAAUGGAUUACAGCAAUUGCAGUUGAAGCUCGUCCCCGGAAAACGCCCUCUGCAAAAGGGUGAUGAAGUCAAGUGCCACGCCCCCGCCCCCCUGACUUUCUUUCGCCUUGUUGUGAGCAGCUAAUAAAAGCCAAAAUCAAUGCCAUGUACCAAUAUAUGUGGGUGUAUGGGAGUAUAUGUAUGUAUGUUGGUGUGUGUCAAAUGCGAUAAAAUUUGGUCAGCAUAAGGUUGAAAUACUUUCGUAAGGUGCUGUUGAAAUGUAUUUGUUGAUUGCCUGGGUUUGCUUUUUAUUUGCUCCCAUUCGUGCUUUGUAUUUGGCUUUGGCUCAGCUUUUUGCGGUCAACUCGUUCGUAGCCAGGAAAUUGCCAAACACAUGGCCAACUCUCAGCUCACAUAACUAGCCCCUUCCCCUCCCACCAAAAAAAAAAAAGGUCAAGUUAAGCGAAGUGUGAUACGAAAGAAAUUUAACUGAAACCCAAAUAGGGAUGUAGCAGCAGCUGGUGGGUGAAAAAAAUAACUAAACCACUGCCGCUCACAAAAGCGGCAAAAGGACGUCGGCCACAUGUAUAUAAACCACAUCAAUAAAGCACAAUUUUUAAUAUAAAUAACUAAAGUUUAAUUUGGUCCGGGGCGGCACCCACACAAUUUCCCCUCACAGCCGACCAAAUUGGUUUCGGCCAGCGAAGUCUGCAUGAAUUGUUGAUGGAAUUCUGUGGCCCGGUCGAAAUAACAAUUAUUAUUCUAAUUAUUUCAUUCGAAUUCAGGCGGGUAGAGCGGGCGCAUUAUAUUACAUCGGAAAACAUUGCAGAAUAUGCAAAUUGUUGGUGAUGCAUCAAAUAUAUUAAUUAUUAUCUUGAACGCAUUACAAUUUAAACAAUACUACUUAAUUCAUAAAGCUGGGUUUUAUGUUGCAAAUGGCAACAGAACAUGUACUGCAAUAGGAGAAACAUGCCUUUUUUUUAUUUAAGAGCCCAUUUGUUAUUUAAUAGUAUGCCAUAGCCAGAAUGUUCUAAAACAAAAGGAUAAAUUGUCUAUCAUUUUCCAGGUUAUUUCCUUGUUAAAAUGGGCAAAAACUGUACGGCAUAAAUAGCUGGAUUUCCAUGCAUAUCGUUUUGGCUUCUUAUGUUUACGGAUUACCAACAUCAGCAGAACUUGUGAUUUAUGCCCAUAGUUUGGACAGCUCUUUAAGGCAAAAUCUUUAUCUGCAUCUCAUCCGGACUUCACCUACAUAUUUCAGCCGAUUUAAUGGCACACACCCCCUAAAAAACUCUGCGGGAAAUGUCUUUUAAGUUUCAUCUCCUCGCCAUUCUGCACUUUUUCUGGCUCAGCCCAGCAGACACAUAAAUAAAGUUGUCUCACGCAUACCUAAAAGAUAAAAAGCUAAGAACUUGCUUAGCUUUUCAGCGUGUGUGUGACUGGCUGUCUCUUUCUGCAGCCUCUCGCGCUCUCUUUCCCUCUCUUUCCACUAGCAGCCCUCAUUAAGUGCAGAAAAACGCCUUUUCACUGUCAUUGAUGUCAUUCACGUGCUGCUGCUGGCAAGCAAAAAAUGAAUGUGUGGAAAAAAAAGAAAAUGUCGUAUGCAUGACAGAGACGGGUAGUGAGGGGGCGACAGAGAUCGGUAGAUGGGCGGCAGAGAGAGAAAGUCGCGACAGACAUUCGAGUUUCUCGCUCAUUAACCGCGUGCGUUGCUGACACGCUUGAGUUAUUUUCAAUUAAAUGUCGAUGAAAAACUCGCGAGACAUUCGCUCACACAUGCACACUCACACGCAUACUCCACACACACACACACACACACACACACAGGCGAACUUAUCGAGGACAUGGCAAGCGAAUGCGCAUAAAUUAAAACUCAACAUCGUUCGCACCGUGUCCUCGUCCUCGAUGGCGGCACUCAUAACGCACCCACUCCAAAGCCAGCCACCGAGGAACUCGCGCUGCCCCCUGGAGUGACACCCACCUCAGCCUGCACCGCAACUAUAGAAGUAUGCAUCCAUUUCCGCAUCAGUCAGAUCCACUUGUCGCCGAAAUGCUGAAAUGACGCACACGCCAAAUCCAAUUUAAAAUCGCAUGGGAUAAAGAAAGAUCAUCAAGAAAAAGGCUGCCGAAAGAUGGCUCAGAUCUAACGUGAAAUGAAAAUAUUAUGGACCAACUCCAUUGUAAAAAUCUAUUAGCAAAAAACUACUGCUAUUAUUUCGCUAUUUUCCCAACAUGGAAUACAAAACCGCUGGCGAACUAGAGCCAGAAUAGAAAGUAAGGAGAAAGUAGUAAAGGAAGCAUGUCGGUCGGUAGAUGGCGCUGCUGGGGCUUUCGUGCACAUUCUAUACAGAUAAUGGUAGACCGCACACACUCACACGUCCUCAUGCGAAAAAGGAGCGGCGCAGCAGCAGCAGCAGUUCAAGAAGAAGAAGGCGAACGAACGAACGGCAGCGAAGCGUGAGCCAAAUGCUGAAAUAUUACGUAUACGCAACGUGGCCUGCGUCGCCGCCAUGCGGUUUUCAGCAAUAUUACGUAGCGGCCACAACCGACUCGUCGCCGUUGUCUAGGCGGUCCGUCGUUAACGUCACAUCCAAAGUCGUGAGAAUGCCACUGGAAAUAAUGAAGAGGACCUUUGUGAUAUUCACUUUUACAUUUUCAAGCAAAUUGUUUGAGAACAUGGCACAUCUUAUCAACCUAAAUAACUUUUAUAUCGUGUAUUGGUUUUCUUUUCUAAUAAAUCAAAACUAAACA